rnacentral:lncRNA from 1 species
GUUUUGUUUUAUUUUUGAAAGUGAAAAUCAAUUGAUUAUGUUAACGUCGUAUUGCUUCUAGUGAUCCAGCCAGACUGCACAGGCCCUUGCUGGCUACUGUGUGUUUCCAGGUGUGACUCCUCUCUCCUGGUGCUCUCUCACUGCUGGGACCCUGCAUUGACCACAGAUGAUAUACCUGCUCAGGUAUCUCCUGAACUUCUCAUCUCGCACCCCGUAAAUAAUGGGGCUCAGGCACCUGGGCAGGAUAUAGAUUAUCAAGUCAGACUUGGGUCUUUGAAAACAUUCUGGCGGAGACAGAAGACAGCAGAGUGGAAAAAGCUGUUGGGUUCCAUUGCCAAGGUGACGAAGAGGUCUGUGAUGUCCGAGGUUAUGCCCACCACCCAGAUGAGGCCAAUGAGGAUGCUGCUCUGA